CUGAUGCGCAUGUGCGCACAACAUUCCUCACUAUACACACAUGAUCUGCGCAUGUGCGAAGAAUCUGCUUAACGCAGCACCAGUAGUUUUCCCAAUUGAAUGUCAGGACUGUUGAGAAGGAUUGACAUAACCAAGCUAAAGAAUUUAAUACAGAAAAAUUUGACCAUGGCUAACAGGAAAUGCACAAGAUAUUCCAUGUACUGGGAGGAGACCGAGUGCCUGAGCUACUAUGAGAUGUUGUCCCUUCAUGAGAUCUUUGACAUUGUGGGCUCUCAGCUCACCGAGAGCGAUGUUGAGGUUUUGUCCUUUCUCCUUGAUGAAACCUAUCCUGGGAAACAUCCCCUCAGUCCUGAGGGAUGGACUGAGGAAUUACCUCCAGGGCCAGAUGGAAAUCCACAGAGUAAUCCUCCAUGUCCACGGCUGCUGAAGUCAUGGCGAAGGACACAGACGCAGAAUGGGGCUUGUCCUGUCGCCUCACGCCACCGACCCAAGAGCGGUGUUGAACUGCUGUUAGAGUUGGAGAGACGAGGAUACAUAAGUGAGGGAAACUUCGAGUCUUUGUUUCAGUUGCUGCGAAUUCUGACACGACAUGACGUCCUACCUUUUGUCUCACAAAAGAAAAGAAGAACAGUAUCUCCAGAGCGAGAGAGAAUUGACUACCCAGAAGUGGAGACCAGAGAGGAUGCACAAAUUUGCUCAAACACCGAGAUGUCAUACUUGGAAAACACACAAAACCAACACUGGAGAACAGGUGCUGGUGCUUCUGCCACAGUGACCACCCCAGCCCAACGGAGGCAUGGCAGAGGCCGUCGCUGGAGUAAAAAAUCCAAAGAUAAGACUGAAAUUCAGCCACAGCCAACACCCGACAAAGUGACUUGUGCUAGACGGGAGCUGUCCUGCCAUCAGGGCAUUGCUAAAACUCCGAGCAGCGAGUGACAAUAAUGGCACAGUAGGUAAGGACAUGUUGAGACAAAGAAAUGCCUUCUUGAAAUUUGUUAAAACAAGCAACUGUCUGUUAUGUAAGCAUAUAAUAUGACAGAUGUUCACUAUUAGGUCAGUUUGGUCCCUUCACUGUUUUUACCUCAUGCAGUACAGCAUUACAAACUUACUCAAGAUCGUCUCAUUGAGUAACAGUGACUGUUUUUGGCAAAAAAUGUUUAAUACUUUUUUAGGUUGAUUGGGGAUGAAUGACUCAAUAGUAAUUAAUUUGCUAUUUUGCAUAAUCUAUUAUUUUUUGUCAACUAAAAAAAGCAAAAAAAUAAACUUUUGAUCAUUUAACCUGCAUGGUGCUCACCUUCUGAUCUUGGCCCAAAUGGGUUCACAGUCUUCCUUCUGGUGUGCCUUAAAAAUAAUUUUCUUUGAGAUCAAGAUUUUAACCAUUAACAGACUUUUUCUUAUUAAAACUAUCAAAUGUGUCUGAUGCAUGAACCACACACUGAACCUUAUACUUUUUAAGAAUAAAUAACAUUCAGAGAAAUCUGUUUGCCAAGAGGUGGAAACUCAUGGAGAUUGAGAUUCAUGGUCAGUAAAAAAAACUUUGAUAAUAACAACAAAUUCUAAUUUUUUUCAGUGUGUGAGUCUGAAUCUAGACACGCUGUUUGUCCCUUUCAUUGCGCCAAGAUGCUCGACACAAUCGGUUUUUGUCAGUUUUGCCACAGAUGCUUAUUGUUCCUUUAUAUUUGUCUGUACAGGAAUGCAUGGCUCUGGAAAUAAGCUUCUUUGUGUGUGCUGCAAAAAAACUUAAAACUCUAUUGAAGUUGCGCAUUUCAUAGCAUAUUUAUGUCACAAUUUUAGAAAUGUGCUUAGCUUUCCUAAAGACAACAAGCAAAUCCGUAAAUGUUCUGAUUUUAAUUGUUUUACAAUCCUAACGGUAGUUGCUCUUAUAACCUGGGCAAAUGCUUGUUUAGGGCAGCACGAUAGGGUGAUUCUCACGAAAUCCAGAUUGGAAGGUGUCCAGCAUCAGAAUUUUUCAAAAGCUCUUUAAGCCAAUUUUUUGGCACAUAUAAGAUAUAAGGUCUGAACUUACUAUAAACAUUAUUUUUAGAGGAUUAAAAAAAUAUUUCCUAUAGAAUUAUUCACAUUUUUUAGAUUAUCAUUAUCAAAAAUUAUCAUUACCGCAACAUUAAAUACAUGCAUUUACAAACUCAAAAUGUUUCGGUAAUGAAAAUUAAAAAGUUGUCUAAGUUGACUAUGACAAAACAAAAUUUUAACUUUUAUCUGGAGAGAAAAAAUAAGAACUGCUUACCUGGCAGCCAUCUUGAGUGUCACCGUCAAUUACGUCCCUUCCAACUAUUUAUGUUUGAAAAUUUUAGUUCCAUGAGAGCUUAAACAAUGAUUGAAAAUUGUUGCAGAGGAUGAGAAAAUUGGUCUUGGACACAUUUAUAUUCCUUAUUAUUGUCUCUUCAUUUACCAAUGAUCACCAAAUACCACAUGUUUCUUUACUGUACAUGUUUAUAGUAUAACACACACUGAAGCAUUCAGAUUUUUUUAAUUAUAAAUAUUUCCAUGUCAAAGAACCUAAAUCCAGUCAUUGACACAUUGCGGUAAUGAAAAUGUUCCCUUUAAAUGUGAAAAAAACAUCAAAAUUGGUUUGUAUGAUGUCACGAGAUGUUUGUAACUGUAUGCUUCUUAUUUUGAUACUCUUACUUUGCAUUUCCUUUUUUAUCAAAAUGUUUCAUGACACCUCAUAAGUCUAAUUUUGCGAGAAUCACCCGAAAAUACUGUGUUCUUUAACUCUUCCUAAUGAGACCAGAUCAAAAAUAACAUAGGAUAGGUAGAUUUAGGAUAUCCGUUAUGUUUCUGCAAUUUUUUGCUGUUUAUUGGUUGUUUAUAAGAAUGUUUGACACUAGUUGUGCUUUAAAGCUGAACUCACUUCAGUUGCCCCACUUCCUUAUGUUAUAACUUAUAGACAGAAAAGUGCUUACUGAGUUACUUUCUUUAGUUUUUAUUUCCUUUACAUUUUCCAUCAACUUUCCUCUUGCAGUUAUUUAAUUCAUUUUUCUCUGGAUAAACAGUUUUCAGUGUGAAUAAUGCCUGUGAUAUGUUGAAAUUCUGAAUGAAGUAUAUUUAAGAGAAUCAAGAGAUUAUUCAAUUUUUGUCCACUGUGGCAUCACCUUUUAUAUCCCACUGUUUCAUAUCCAAUAAAACACCGCCAGUCACUGUCAUUUCACAUAUAUUUGAAAGUAUUUUUUCCCCCCGCUGUGUAACUGAGCCUUGAUGCAGCUAAUCUAAUUUCGGCGCUGGCUUUGUGUUUAGUGACACACGAUUCCCUUAUGCUGUAACACACUUGACCUGUUCUGUAAACAUUUCACAUUCGGUGAGUGCUGGGAAUUUUUGUCCUAUAAAAAGCAAAUGCAUCAAACCUCAAAAUCUACCCCCUCCCCGUUACAUUUAUGUUUGAUUCAUAUAAAAAAUGAUGGGAUACACACCUGGAUUAUUACAUGUUUGUUAAGAAACCGAUUUUCUGACAGUCCUGCUUUGCCAUGAUUGACCUUUGACCUGUUUUGCUCCUGAACUAGCUGAACGUGCUGAUUGCUGUGUUGACUCCACAUUUGAUCUUGGCAGGUUGACUCAAGUAAACAAAGCAGCAGAAUGGAUAGAGUGAAUGAGACAGAGCUCACAACAAAAACAAGUGUGUGCUGUCCUCUGUCCAAUCAUACACAGCGCUUUAACUCACGCGCCUGGUCCAUGUCCUAAGUUGAAAAACAGACUGACAUACAAGUGUCAGGGACAAAAACAAGUUGGAAAGCCUCACAUACUAAGAGAGGGAGAAAAUAGUUUGAGCCUGAUCUAUGUUCGCAAUUGGUCAGCUUUUUGCCUCCGAUUCUCUCCCUCCAUCUUGGUUUGUUGAUCAACAGAAAAGAAGGAUCGAAAUAUGUUUGGAAGCUCUUCGCAUGGAGCAACUACCCAAAAAAUGAUGCACAAGAUUUUCUUUUGAUUUACAAAUUUCUUUUAGAUUUUAUUUUGAUAGAGAAAUGUGGGUACUUUUAAAUCUAAGUUAAAUAAUAUAUGUAACUUCAGAGUUACAUUCUAAAUUUUACCUUGCUGAGGCAAAAACUUUAAAGCCUACAAAUCUUAAGGAUAAAAAUAUUCAUUGUACUGCUUAUGAUGGGUACCUUGUGUGAACUGAAAUUAAAGUUCUGACGCUAGAAGCAGAGGACAACAAUGUUUAGUAUUUAUUUGAGGAGCUCCAAAAAUGUUGUUCAGUGGAACUAAAAAGUGCUCUGUAAAUGUGUGCUAUGUUUAAUAAGAACGUUAAAGACUUUUGUGUUUUAAGAUUU